AAGGUGCAACAUUUUAACAAGUCAAGGUUUCAGCAAGGAUUAACAGAAUUACUGUUUUCAGUCAGCACUUCACAAAUACUUAUACCUCCAAAAUAAGUUGUCAACCCUAUAAUUUCCCUCCUGUUUAUUAUAUGAUUAUUUCUUCCUUGGUAUUAAUCAUGAGCAA